rnacentral:rRNA from 1 species
UACGGGGGGAGCAAGCGUUGUUCGGAAUUACUGGGCGUAAAGGGCGCGUAGGCGGCCUUCUAAGUCGAACGUGAAAUCCCUGGGCUCAACCCAGGAACUGCGUCCGAUACUGAAAGGCUUGAAUCCGGGAGAGGGAUGCGGAAUUCCAGGUGUAGCGGUGAAAUGCGUAGAUAUCUGGAGGAACACCGGUGGCGAAGGCGACGUCCUGGACCGGUAUUGACGCUGAGGCGCGAAAGCCAGGGGAGCAAACGGG